CAGGCCUCGACAUCCAAUGAACUUUCCAGAGAUGGAUUGGUGCCUUCGGGGACAUUGAGACAGGUGCUGCACGGCUGUCGUCAGCUCGUGUCGUGAGAUGUUGGGUUAAGUCCCGUAACGAGCGCAACCCUUGUCCUUAGUUACCAGCACGUUAUGGUGGGCACUCUAAGGAGACUGCCGGUGACAAACCGGAGGAAGGUGGGGAUGACGUCAAGUCAUCAUGGCCCUUACGGCCUGGGCUACACACGUGCUACAAUGGUCGGUACAAAGGGUUGCCAAGCCGCGAGGUGGAGCUAAUCCCAUAAAACCGAUCGUAGUCCGGAUCGCAGUCUGCAACUCGACUGCGUGAAGUCGGAAUCGCUAGUAAUCGUGAAUCAGAAUGUCACGGUGAAUA
rnacentral:rRNA from 1 species